rnacentral:rRNA from 1 species
UGAGGAAUAUUGGUCAAUGGUCGGGAGACUGAACCAGCCAAGCCGCGUGAGGGAGGAAGGCCCUAUGGGUCGUAAACCUCUUUUGUAAGGGAACAAAAGCGAGUAUGUAUACUAGUCUGAGUGUACCUGAAGAAAAAGCAUCGGCUAACUCCGUGCCAGCAGCCGCGGUAAUACGGAGGAUGCGAGCGUUAUCCGGAUUUAUUGGGUUUAAAGGGUGCGUAGGCGGCGGUGCAAGUCAGCGGUAAAAGCCCGGGGCUCAACCCCGGCGAGCCGUUGAAACUGCAGUGCUAGAGAAGGCGAGAGGUACGCGGAAUGCGCAGUGUAGCGGUGAAAUGCUUAGAUAUUGCGCAGAACUCCGAUUGCGAAGGCAGCGUACUGGCGCCUGACUGACGCUGAGGCACGAAAGCGUGGGGAUCGAACAGGAUUAGAUACC